CCUACGAUUGACCGUGUCCAAAAAUUGACCGUCUGUUUAUUUAAAAAAAUUAUGGUUACUAUCUUUAUUAUUAUUAUUUGAUGAUAAAACAUAAAUAGUAUUUUAUGUAUGGCUAACUUUUUAAUUUUUUUAAUAAGACGGACGAUUAAACAUUAGACACGAAAAUCCACAACUACAUUUAUA
rnacentral:pre_miRNA from 1 species